AUUCUCUGGGUUCUCUUCAGAUCGUAUAAAUAUUUCACCUUCUACUAAAGCUUUCUGUGGAGAGGAGCAUUCAAAGUUUAAAUUAAUUUUUUGUUGCCCUGCUCUGGUAGAAA